ACCACCAUGGCCGCGGCGAAGAGAAGAAGAAGAAGAAGAAGAAGAAGGGGGGAAUUUCCAGUGGAAUCGAUGGAUGAUCGGCGUGAGAGGGCUCGACAAAAAUAUGGGCUGCGCUCGCUAGAAUCCAAAUCCAAAUGGAAAUCGAUUCGAGAGGUGGGAUUUGAGGAGAGGAAGGGGCCUUUCUUGACUGCCCGGAAUGCCUUCCCACGCUGUGACGUUUGCUCGGGCCCCUCUUACGCGUUUGCCGCUAUUUAACUUUCGCGUGUGCCCUAAAGUUUAGGGGACCUCUGUUUUAGGGCAGAAUCUUGGUGAGUCAAAAUCAAGGGGAAUCUGUGUGGAAGAUGAGGAGGAAUAUUUCUUUCAAGUUCAACGACGGUGGGGCAAUUUACUGGGAAGUGCUUUCAGCAUCAUUUAGCUUUCAACUAUACCAUAAGCGUAAGAAACACAGCAGCUUUAGGUACCUCAAAAGUUUGGAUGAUAAGUGUUGCACAAAGUGAUGUAAUCGUCCAUUCCAUCCCCUAGUCAUGAUCAUUCAAGGCAGUUGAGCAUUGCUUUGCAUCAGUUUUCAGAAGAGCUAAACAUGUAAUGUGUUCACCUCAUGAAAAGCAUGAACUUAUUCA